UAGUGGCGCACGGGUGCGUAACACGUAACUAACCUACCUAUACCUGGGGGAUAGCCCGCCGAAAGGCGGAUUAAUACCGCAUAAGGCUUGAGAGUGGCAUCACUUUUCAGUUAAAGAUUUAUUGGGUAUAGAUGGGGUUGCGGGUCAUUAGCUAGUUGGUAGGGUAACGGCUUACCAAGGCGACGAUGACUAGGGGAGCUGAGAGGCUGGUCCCCCACACGGGCACUGAGAUACGGGCCCG
rnacentral:rRNA from 1 species